GUAUAUUUGUAAGCUGAGUUGAAUGCUUUGUGGAGAGAGCCCCUAAAAUGGAGCCUGGCAGGUAACAAGCAUGAGAUAAACACCAGCUGACUCCACGGAUGGAGGGCACGUGGAUGGACUAGGUAUGCAGAAGAGACUCUCUGACUGCAGACUCGGCUGCCACACAUAGAAACGUCUGCUCC
rnacentral:lncRNA from 1 species